GCUGGCGUAGCUCAAAGGUAGAGCAGCCGCCUUGUAAGCGGCUGGUUGGGGGUUCGAUUCCCUUCGCCAGCUCCA
rnacentral:tRNA from 2 species